GAUGAACGCUGGCGGCGUGCCUAAUACAUGCAAGUCGAGCGAACAGAUGGGGAGCUUGCUCCUCUGACGUUAGCGGCGGACGGGUGAGUAACACGUGGAUAACCUACCUAUAAGACUGGGAUAACUUCGGGAAACCGGAGCUAAUACCGGAUAAUAUAUUGAACCGCAUGGUUCAAUAGUGAAAGACGGUUUUGCUGUCACUUAUAGAUGGAUCCGCGCCGCAUUAGCUAGUUGGUAAGGUAACGGCUUACCAAGGCUACGAUGCGUAGCCGACCUGAGAGGGUGAUCGGCCACACUGGAACUGAGACACGGUCCAGACUCCUACGGGAGGCAGCAGUAGGGAAUCUUCCGCAAUGGGCGAAAGCCUGACGGAGCAACGCCGCGUGAGUGAUGAAGGUCUUCGGAUCGUAAAACUCUGUUAUUAGGGAAGAACAAAUGUGUAAGUAACUAUGCACGUCUUGACGGUACCUAAUCAGAAAGCCACGGCUAACUACGUG
rnacentral:rRNA from 1 species